rnacentral:rRNA from 1 species
CAGCCGCCGCGGUAAAACGUAGGUGGCAAGCGUUGUCCGGAAUUAUUGGGCGUAAAGGGCUCGCAGGCGGUUUCUUAAGUCUGAUGUGAAAGCCCCCGGCUCAACCGGGGAGGGUCAUUGGAACCUGGGAAACUUGAGUGCAGAAGAGGAGAGCGGAAUUCCACGUGUAGCGGUGAAAUGCGUAGAGAUGUGGAGGAACACCAGUGGCGAAGGCGACUCUCUGGUCUGUAACUGACGCUGAGGAGCGAAAGCGUGGGGAGCGAACAGGAUUAGAUACCCCUGUAGUCCCUGUCUCUUAUAC